rnacentral:sRNA from 1 species
CAGGAGACAGAUCAGGGCCCACCUCCCUGCCAGGGAGGGAGCAAAGAUGGAGCGGCGGGAGGAGCAGCCGGGGGCUGCAGGGGCUGGAGCAGCACCAGCCUUGGACUUCACUGUGGAGAACGUGGAGAAGGAUCCAGAGUGGCCAGCACCUGCUCAGUCCUGUGCUGUCCUGCAGGCGCUGCACCAGCUCUACUAUGAUCCCAACAUUGAGAACAAGAACCUGGCUCAGAAGUGGCUGAUGCAGGCCCAGGUCUCCCCACAGGCCUGGCACUUCAGCUGGCAGCUACUGCAGCCUGACAAAGUA